ACUCCUACGGGAGGCAGCAGUGGGGAAUUUUGGACAAUGGGCGAAAGCCUGAUCCAGCCAUGCCGCGUGCAGGAUGAAGGCCUUCGGGUUGUAAACUGCUUUUGUACGGAACGAAAAGGUCUUUUCUAAUAAAGAAGGCUCAUGACGGUACCGUAAGAAUAAGCACCGGCUAACUACGUGCCAGCAGCCGCGGUAAU
rnacentral:rRNA from 1 species